ensembl:misc_RNA
CUGCUGGGCUAAGUAGGGGACUGUUUUAUUAUGGUCUUCAUUUUAUCAAUAUCAAACC